ACUUGAAUGUUGCAACAAUAUUUAAUCGUCUGCUAAUUUACAUUCUACAUCAAGCGUUUGUGCAAAACAGGAACGGUAAACAGUGAACGCGUACUGUGUGUGACCCGAAGGUCUGUUUACACCCAACAAUUACAUUUAUGACUACCACAAGGGAUAUUUAUCACUUUCCCUUAGAAGAAGAACACAGUGGAUAAGUAAAUAAUCGAAGAAAGUCCUCUGACUACCAAGUACCAACGUCAACUAACAAAUCACAAUUUUUACUCCAUCGUCGGUCCGCGAGGAAAAAGAGGAAAAGUCUGACAAAACCUAGAUGACGCCUAAGUCGACCAGCACGGCACCACGCAAGGUUGUUUUCAAGCAGUGACGCAGUAUUAUAGUACGUGUUAGCUUUGUUUUUCAAAAUUCGAAAUUCAAAAACCAUGUGUGAUGAUGUUUAUAAGCACAC